rnacentral:rRNA from 1 species
UGGAGGUCAACUUUUGGUUCACCCUAGCACUUUAUACUGUGAAACUGCGAAUGGCUCAUUAAAUCAGUUAUCGUUUAUUUGAUAGUACCUUACUACAUGGAUACCUGUGGUAAUUCUAGAGCUAAUACAUGCUAAAAACCCCGACUUCAGGAAGGGGUGUAUUUAUUAGAUAAAAAACCAACGCCCUUCGGGGCUCCUUGGUGAAUCAUAAUAACUUAACGAAUCGCAUGGCCCUUGCGCCGGCGAUGGUUCAUUCAAAUUUCUGCCCUAUCAACUUUCGAUGGUAGGAUAGUGGCCUACCAUGGUGGCAACGGGUAACGGGGAAUUAGGGUUCGAUUCCGGAGAGGGAGCCUGAGAAACGGCUACCACAUCCAAGGAAGGCAGCAGGCGCGCAAAUUACCCAAUCCCGAUACGGGGAGGUAGUGACAAUAAAUACUGAUACGGGGCUCUUUUGGGUCUCGUAAUUGGAAUGAGAACAAUUUAAAUCCCUUAACGAGGAACAAUUGGAGGGCAAGUCUGGUGCCAGCAGCCGCGGUAAUUCCAGCUCCAAUAGCGUAUAUUAAAGUUGUUGCAGUUAAAAAGCUCGUAGUUGAACCUUGGGUCUGGCUGGCCGGUCCGCCUCACCGCGAGUACUGUCCGGCUGGACCUUUCCUUCUGGGGAACCUCAUGGCCUUCACUGGCUGUGGGGGGAACCAGGACUUUUACUGUGAAAAAAAUUAGAGUGUUCAAAGCAGGCCUUUGCUCGAAUACAUUAGCAUGGAAUAAUAGAAUAGGACGUGCGGUUCUAUUUUUGUUGGUUUCUAGGACCGCCGUAAUGAUUAAUAGGGAUAGUCGGGGGCGUCAGUAUUCAGCUGUCAGAGGUGAAAUUCUUGGAUUUGCUGAAGACUAACUACUGCGAAAGCAUUCGCCAAGGGAUGUUUUCAUUAAUCAGGGAACGAAAGUUAGGGGAUCGAAGACGAUCAGAUACCGUCGUAGUCUUAACCAUAAACUUAUGCCGACUAGGGAUCGGACGGGAUUCUAUGAUGACCCGUUCGGCACCUUACGAGAAAUCAAAGUUUGGCUCUGGAAGAGUAGAAACGGCAAUG